GGUUUAGGUAGGGUAUGAAAUUGGAACAACGGUUUUUGGGUCUUUUGGUUCAGAGUACAUGAAAUCAUUGUCUCACUACGUUUCUUUCCUAUUAUUCCUUUAGGGUUUUGCAAUCCUCUUUUCCUUUUAUCUAUAGUGAAUGUAGCAUUUUUCAAAAGCUUUUCUUUUAUUGUUUUUCGCUUUUCUCUUUCUUUCUUUUCAUGUUGUUGUUGUUUUUCUUUUUUUUUUCUUUU
rnacentral:lncRNA from 1 species